rnacentral:rRNA from 1 species
CGACCGCUGGCGGCGUGCUUACCACAUGCAAGUCGACCGGAAAGGCCCUGCUUUUGUGGGGUGCUCGAGUGGCGAACGGGUGAGUAACACGUGAGUAAUCUGCCCCUGACUUUGGGAUAACUUCAGGAAACUGGGGCUAAUACCGGAUAGGAGCUCCUGCUGCAUGGUGGGGGUUGGAAAGUUUCGGCGGUUGGGGAUGGACUCGCGGCUUAUCAGCUUGUUGGUGGGGUAGUGGCUUACCAAGGCUUUGACGGGUAGCCGGCCUGAGAGGGUGACCGGCCACAUUGGGACUGAGAUACGGCCCAGACUCCUACGGGAGGCAGCAGUGGGGAAUAUUGCACAAUGGGCGGAAGCCUGAUGCAGCAACGCCGCGUGCGGGAUGACGGCCUUCGGGUUGUAAACCGCUUUCGCCUGUGACGAAGCGUGAGUGACGGUAAUGGGUAAAGAAGCACCGGCUAACUACGUG